rnacentral:rRNA from 1 species
AUUGAACGCUGGCGGCAGGCCUAACACAUGCAAGUCGAACGAGUGGCGGACGGGUGAGUAAUGUCUGGGAAACUGCCUGAUGGAGGGGGAUAACUACUGGAAACGGUAGCGAAUACCGCAUACCAUCAGAUGUGCCCAGAUGGGAUUAGCUAGUAGGUGAGGUAACGGCUCACCUAGGCGACGAUCCCUAGCUGGUCUGAGAGGAUGACCAGCCCCACUUGACCUGAGACACGGUCGAGACUCCUACGGGAGGCAGCAGUGGGGAAUAUUGCACAAUGGGCGCAAGCCUGAUGCAGCCAUGCCGCGUGUAUGAAGAAGGCCUUCGGGUUGUAAAGUACUUUCAGCGGGGAGGCGUUACCCGCAGAGGAAGCACCGGCUAACUCCGUGCCAGCAGCCGCGGUAAUAC